rnacentral:rRNA from 1 species
CUACCCUCGACAUGCUCUGGAAUCUAACGGAGACAUAAAAGUGCCCGAAAGGGAACCAAGACACAGGUGCUGCAUGGCUGUCCUCGGCUCGUGUCAUGAGAUGUUGGGUUAAUUCCCCCAACGAGCGCAACCCUUGUCACUAUUUGCUAUCAGUUUAAUGAGCACUUUAGUGAGACUGCCGGUGACAAACCGGAGGAAGGUGGGGAUGAAGUCAAGUCCUCAUGGCCCUUAUGGGUAGGGCUUCACACGUAAUACAAUGGCGCGUACAGAGGGUUGCCAACCCGCGAGGGGGAGCCAAUCUCAGAAAGCGCGUCGUAGUCCGGAUCGAAGUCUGCAACUCGACUUCGUGAAGUCGGAAUCGCUAGUAAUCGCGGAUCAGCAUGCCGCGGGGAAUACGUUCCCGGGUCUUGGACACACCG